UUACACAUGCAAGUCGAACGGUAACAGGUCUUCGGAUGCUGACGAGUGGCGAACGGGUGAGUAAUACAUCGGAACGUGCCUAGUAGUGGGGGAUAACUACUCGAAAGAGUAGCUAAUACCGCAUGAGAUCUACGGAUGAAAGCAGGGGACCUUCGGGCCUUGUGCUACUAGAGCGGCUGAUGGCAGAUUAGGUAGUUGGUGGGGUAAAGGCUUACCAAGCCUGCGAUCUGUAGCUGGUCUGAGAGGGCGACCAGCCACACUGGGACUGAGACACGGCCCAGACUCCUACGGGAGGCAGCAGUGGGGAAUUUUGGACAAUGGGCGAAAGCCUGAUCCAGCAAUGCCGCGUGCAGGAUGAAGGCCCUCGGGUUGUAAACUGCUUUUGUACGGAACGAAAAGCCUGGGGCUAAUAUCCCCGGGUCAUGACGGUACCGUAAGAAUAAGCACCGGCUAACUACGUGCCAGCAGCCGCGGUAAUACGUAGGGUGCAAGCGUUAAUCGGAAUUACUGGGCGUAAAGCGUGCGCAGGCGGUUUUGUAAGACAGUGGUGAAAUCCCCGGGCUCAACCUGGGAACUGCCAUUGUGACUGCAAGGCUAGAGUGCGGCAGAGGGGGAUGGAAUUCCGCGUGUAGCAGUGAAAUGCGUAGAUAUGCGGAGGAACACCGAUGGCGAAGG
rnacentral:rRNA from 1 species